GUAGGUGGCAAGCGUUGUCCGGAAUUAUUGGGCGUAAAGCGCGCGCAGGCGGGUCCUUUAAGUCUGAUGUGAAAGCCCACGGGCUCAACCGUGGAGGGUCAUUGGAAACUGGGGGACUUGAGUACAGAAGAGGAAAGCGGAAUUCCAAGUGUGGCGGUGAAAUGCGUAGAGAUUUGAAGGAACACCAGUGGCGAAGGCGGCUUUCUGGUCUGUAACUGACGCUGAGGCGCGAAAGCGUGGGGAGCAAACAGGAUUAGAUACCCUGGUAGUCCACGCCGUAAACGAUGAGUGCUAAGUGUUAGGGGGUUUCCGCCCCUUAGUGCUGCAGCUAACGCAUUAAGCACUCCGCCUGGGGAGUACGGCCGCAAAGGCUG
rnacentral:rRNA from 1 species